CUAAUGUCGGGCGGCCAACCUCGCUAUCAACCCCGAUGCGCGAAAUGCAAUUCGCUCUCAGGUUGAUUUUCUAACUCGGUCAGCUGGUCAGUUUGGCAGCUAACGAAGACUGCCAAACUGACAAAUUUUUUGCAAAAAAUUAUGUUCUGCUCCUUGGUUUGAAAAUGGGGCGCGCCGCCAAUUCUCCCGAACAAACCGAAGGCAUUAAAAAUUGGAUCGAAAAAUUUUCGAAAGAAGGUAAAGUGCAAUAAUUUUUUAAUAGUUUUUAUGCAUAAAAGAAUCAUCACAAUUUUAUUAACUUUGUUGAUUUGUUCGUUAAUUGUUUUCAGUCAGGAUGAAGAAAGUUCUAACAAAUCCGCUGCCGGCAAACAGGCAGCAAGCGCCCCGAAACCAGACAUCGCCGACGGUAAAUACGGAGAAUUUGCGGCAAAUACAUUCGAUUUAUGGAAACCGAAAUCGAAUAAGCCCGUGCCCUUGGCAGUGC
rnacentral:misc_RNA from 1 species